UGAGGAAUAUUGGGCAAUGGUCGAGAGACUGAACCAGCCAAGUCGCGUGAAGGAUGACUGCCCUAUGGGUUGUAAACUUCUUUUACAAGGGAAUAAAAUGAGAUACGUGUAUUUUAUUGCAUGUACCUUGUGAAUAAGAAUCGGCUAACUCCGUGCCAGCAGCCGCGGUAAUAAGGAGGAUGCGAUCGUUAUCCGGAUUUAUUGGGUUUAAAGGGUGCGUAGGUGGGCUGUUAAGUCAGCGGUGAAAGUUUGUCGCUUAACGAUAAAAUUGCCGUUGAAACUUGUAGUCUUGAGUAUAGAUGAAGUAUGCGGAAUGCGUGGUGUAGCGGUAAAAUGCAUAGCGAUCACGCAGAACUCCGAUUGCGAAGGCAGCUUACUAAGGUAUAACUGCCACUGAAGCACGAAAGCGUGGGUAUCAAACAGG
rnacentral:rRNA from 1 species